UACGUAGGGUGCAAGCGUUAAUCGGAAUUACUGGGCGUAAAGCGUGCGCAGGCGGCUAUGCAAGACAGAUGGGAAAUCCCCGGGCUCAACCUGGGAACUGCAUUUGUGACUGCAUAGCUAGAGUACGGUAGAGGGGGAUGGAAUUCCGCGUGUAGCAGUGAAAUGCGUAGAUAUGCGGAGGAACACCGAUGGCGAAGGCAAUCCCCUGGACCUGUACUGACGCUCAUGCACGAAAGCGUGGGGAGCAAACAGG
rnacentral:rRNA from 1 species